rnacentral:lncRNA from 1 species
AAAAAACAAUGUUUCAGCAUUCGUGUUGAUUCUUGUACACCGAGAUUCACAAUUUCUGGGAAUUCUUUGAAUAAAACAUCCAUCCCCAGGAUAUCUAAUACUUCCACAUGAAAAUGAAGAAGAAAAACAUGGCAGAAAUCAUCCAUCAGUUGAGCUUAAAACAUGAUAGAAGGUGACAAAAGUAUGUCAGACUGACAAUAACUAAUAGAUAACUAUUGUUCAAACUGUCAAAUUGAAAUUCCAUAUCUAUCAUACAACUAACAGAGCUUGUGGCCUAUACACGAAGAAAUGUCAUGUUCAGAGAAGCCAUAUAUACUAAUUAAGAAAACUCAAUUUUUAGCAAGACUCAUUCAUUCGACACGAGGAGGUUGGGGUAGGUUCAUGUGAUUUGGGCUCAGGGGCAGUAGGGAUGCAGGGCCUCCUGUAGGAUCAAAACAAAAGGAAGAGGUGGCGAAUCAUGAUUCUCUCACCUGGCACCAUGUUGUUGGCAUCAAAAACAGGGGAGGGUCACAAGGGAUCUGUCCCUAGGGACACGGCUGCAUAGAACAUACAAAGCCAGAACACAAAUAAAAAUUUGAAUGCUUCAUCUAACAACAUAUCACUUUAUUGGUCCAGAAAUCAACAUGGGUUCACAAGAUCUUGAAUGAAAGAUACGGUAACAUCAAGCCACAUAUAGGACUAUGUAUGGAUUGACAUCACUAACCACUGUAUGUCUGAGUGAAAACCUAAAACCGAAUAAGUGAUGUAAAUUUUCUUAUAAAGCUAUCAGGCUACAAAUGAACACACGACCACAUCCAUGCUGAACAAACACGCGCUCUGCGCCACUGUUAUUACGACUCCUCCAUACGGUGGCGCCUCCUGGAUAUGUCUCUCCUCUAGUGUCUCACACACCAGCCAUGACGCCUCAAUAGAUCACCAAAAAAGGUUUCUAGUUAUUCUUAUGCAGUUAUAGCCAAUUGUUCAGAGCAUACAAAGCUUGUAAGAUCUCAGUGGUAGUGCCACAAAAUCAUACUUGCACAAUGCCACUAUGACAGUAUAAGACAUAUUAAAUUCAAAUAGAAGGGAUGUUCCCAAUCAACCUCAGUUGAAUUAGCAUUAUGAGCUUCUCAAGCUGUUAAUUGCAAAAAAGAGCAUAUUUAUCCCAACAAUUCAACAGAAAGUAUUGCUCUUAUCAUUUCUCAACUAACACUAUGCUAACCAGAUAAGACAUAAAAGAACAGUGAUAAGGAUUUCCCCACUGCCGCUAGUCUUAAAAAUUAUACCUCACGAACAGGGAAAUUAUUGUAGUGAGUGUUUAUAUGUUCAUGUAUACAAAAGUUAUAAAUGGUAAGGAUUCUAACACCAUGGUCAUGCAACUCACAAAUAAAAGUUUCUCAGUGUUGUAUGUUCAUUACAGUUAUACAUAUGAAAACCGUGUGCACGUACCACUGAAAGGCUCCUUCAGCGGUUAAGAACAACAAAUUAGAAGGAAUUUGUCAUAUAUAUAUAGGGUUAAUAAAAUAAAACAAUAGUUACGUUUCCCUUAAAAAGCAGUAUAUGUUUUAACAGUAGCAAAAAAAUGUUAGUUAAACUGAAUACAGAGCACACUUGUUAUCUGCAACUGAGUUAGCUCAACAGCAAAAAACAUGUAAAUACAAAAAAGUGAAGGAAGAAUGCAGAAAUUUUAUAAAUUUUCCUUAAAUCUACACUACCAAUGAAGCCUCAAGAAUUGGCAAAAUAGCUGAAGUAUAGUGGAUCUAGUGUAGCUUCAUUUACCGUAGGGGCCCAUUUCCGCACAAAAAAGGAGGCUGGAUUUCUGUUUUCUGCAGCCACAACCAGUACCAACAAAAGGUGAGAUGCAUAUUUCACAGAGUAGCACAGCAGCAGGCUACAUGAGGGGGAAACAACAGGACUAAAAGGUACCAUGCCAUUGGUCCAAAUUAUGCACAUCAUUUAUCUGAAGCGUCAUAUUGUCUCAAUCUACAUAUCUCAUUGGCCAAUCCAUGAAUUUGUGCCUCUCCAUCUGCAUCCAUAUACACCUCCACCAAGUAAGCAUAAACCAAAGCAUAGACUUUUACCGGAAAAUUGAGGAAGGGGCGAGGAGGAGCUAGUAUACCGGAUGGGUUGGAGACGCAGUUGUGUGCCCAACACAGUUCUCUGGCAUGAUUAUUUGCAAUGCAGGUGUUAAACUGCAGAAAGAAUGCACCAAUCUCCAAAAUAGUGAAAGAACUCUCAUUAUGAGGCAAAAUGGUCAAACU